rnacentral:rRNA from 1 species
ACGGAAGGCAGCAGUGAGGAAUAUUGGUCAAUGGAGGCAACUCUGAACCAGCCAUCUCGCGUGAAGGAAUACGGCCCUACGGGUCUUAAACUUCUUUUAUAGGGGGAUAAAGUGAGCCACGUGUGGCUUUUUGUAGGUACCCUAUGAAUAAGCAUCGGCUAACUCCGUGCCAGCAGCCGCGGUAAUACGGAGGAUGCGAGCGUUAUCCGGAUUUAUUGGGUUUAAAGGGUGCGCAGGCGGCACGUUAAGUCAGCGGUGAAAUGUCGGGGCUCAACCCGGGCACUGCCGUUGAAACUGGCGAGCUUGAGUACGGAUGAAGUCGGCGGAAUGUGAUGUGUAGCGGUGAAAUGCUUAGAUAUGUCACAGAACACCGAUUGCGAAGGCAGCUGACCAAUCCGCAACUGACGCUCAGGCACGAAAGCGUGGGGAUCGAACAGGAUUAGAUACCCUGGUA